CUGCUAUGUCAUAAGGACACUCAGGCAACCCCAUGGAGAGGCCCGUGGGAUGAGGAACUGAGGCCUCCAGCCAACAGUCCUGUGAGUGAGUCCUCUAGGAAGCGGAUCCUUCAGCUGUAGUCAAACCUUCAGGUGCCUGCAGACCUGGCUGACAUCUGGACUUCAUCCCUCGGAGAGACCCUAAGCCAGCACCAGUGUUCCCAGAUUCUUGACCCACAAAAAGUGUGAAAUUUAGACUACCUGGAAGGCUGGUACCUGCCAACGAAGGGCAUUCUGUUGCAAGAAGCCUAGCUUGCCUCCUGGAAGUUGACAAACCAUGUGGAACAGAGCCAAUACUGCCAGCUGAGGCCAAUUUACAUCAGCUAACUGGCAGCUUCUCAUCAUGCAAUUGAGCCCCAGUCAAGACCAGAAGAGCUGCCCAACUAAGCUGAGCGAGACUGGCAGAACUUCUCAACUCAUAAACUCACAAAUUUAGGGGUAGUUGUGACACAGAAUUAUGGCAUUAUUAUAUGUGCUGUAUUUAUUGUACUGCAUUAUACAGAUGGCAAUCAAGGAGAUGGUGAAAAGUCAGUGGAUUCUGAGUAUCUACAGAUAGAAGAACCAAUUGGCUGAGUGAGAGAAGUUGCGUGACUCCAAGGUUCUGCCCUGGACCACUAGAAAAAUGAAUAUGGAUAAUAGAGGUGGAUAUUGAAUCCAAAUUGAAUCUUUGGUCAAUAUAUUGUGACACAUUCAAAUGGAAAUCAUAACAUAAAAAUUGUCCCGAAUGUAUAUAGUUUUGUAAAGUAGUUCUGCUCUUCCUGAAGGGAAAAUUAAAAAAUAAGCAUGGCUUUGGCUAGAGACACAGAGAAAUAGAAAACCUGCUUCUCAUAGUCACUCUGCUAGAGGAAAUAUAUCAAAGUCAUGCAGCCCAAUUGUUUUAUUUAAUAACCAGAAUUUGGAUAAAUAUUUCUCCAUCACUUGUGGAACUGGACUCUGGUAGAUGCUGACCCUUUACCUGACUAGUGCAUGCCCCCCAGCUGCUGUGACUGCUACUGCUAAUAGCUCGCAGUUGCCCCUUCUGAGCACUGCCUUGAGCCAGUGGGGCCCGCAUCCCAGGAGAUUCCCCGGGAGGAUGCAAUCCACCACUCAUGCAUCAAAUGAGCAGUGCAGGGUUAACAGCUGGUGCCAUUCACACUCCAGAGCUCCUCCUGUGAUCAGGCUGAGGCUAGAUUUCAGUUACAUCCCUGUGGCUGCUUAGCUCCCUUCCCUGGCGCUCUUCUGCUUUCCUCAGUCUCUUACAGGUCUCCCCUGAGAGCAUUCCCUCAAUAAAUCGCUUGAACAAGAAUCUCUGUUUCGUGCUUUGUUUCAAGGGAAACUGAAAUAAGACACAAGGCAUCAGUCAAAUUGCCAAGUACUCCUAGGCUAUUGCUAUCAUAGGAAGACAAGUAUUUUUAUUAUUUUUUACGUUCAGACAACUGACUUUAUUGUCAGGACACAUGAGCAUAUCAUCAGUCUCAUGGACAUGUUGAAGAAACAUGCAAUGCGAUGUUUUCUAUGUUUAAUUGAAUGAUACCAGAGAAAGAAACCAUCUUUACAGUUUUCUGAAAAUAGAUUUUAUUUAUCAAGGCAAGAAUUGUUAGCAGAAAUCUUAGAAUGUUUAUUACAUCGUAAAUUGUUAGUAACUUGGACUGAUGGAGAAAGUUAACCUGAAUUAACGGUAAAGAAAUGCAAGUAUUAAAUGUCCCUAGCUUGGUGGCUUUUUACCAAAAUAUUCACUUCAUCUUUGGAAAGCAUCAUGUUAGCAGCCUUUUGUACCUAUAUGGUAAUUUGCACAUUGAUUUUUUAUAAAAUGAUUGAUGUGAAAUUUGGAAAAAAAGAAAAUGAGUAUUAAAUAUACAGAAAAGGAUUAAUUUGAAGAAGACUUACAUGUAAAUAUCAUUUUAACCAACUCCAUGGGACUCCUAAGUUCUUUAAACUGUAUUUUGUUUAAUUUGUUUUAUCAACAAUUGUUUGCUAAAAAUAUAUCACUAGAGAGAAUAUACUGUUAUGAUUAUAAAUGUUGUGUUGAAUUUGACCUGUAGCUGCAUCUAUGUAUAAAAAUGUUA
ensembl:lncRNA